ensembl:antisense Gm15743 predicted gene 15743
GGUCUGCAGGGGCAGUCACCCAUAAGUGACUCCUCAAAUCCCACUACCUAUUUCCAUUAUGAGAAUCAGACUGAGGAACGACACCAACAUCUAUUAGCGAGCGCUGAAGACAGGGAGAAUCCUGAAAAUAGAACGCCUUGGUUCUCUGAGCCCAUUUCACAGACUCAAGCCAGACUCAGGUGACCCAGAAAGCCGCUCAGUAGAUGGUGCUGUAAUCCAUAACAAUAAAUCUCUAUACUGUA